UUGUCUAGGAAAUAAAAGCUCCUGAAGAAGAAGAAAUGGGAUGUGCUCAUCAACACCGAUGCCACCGAAGCUCAAUGAUUUCUAUUUGAAGGAGGGGAUGAUCAUGCAAAUGUGGUUUAUCUUGACGAGGAGGAUGGGGAUGUCCAUCCGGGUACGGGGAUAUCAUGGGAUAUACUUGGUGAAGCAAUGGGAGCACAAGAGCAGCUCCAACUUCGUAGGAGUGCAAGAGUGAGAGACCUUGAGGAGGAGGAGUUUGAAUCUAAUGGUUGA
rnacentral:rRNA from 1 species